CCUUCUGUUUUCACCCAUUCUGGCACAAUCUGGCGCCAUCGUCCUUCUUGUGAGGCCAAGCCUGAAAAUGCGAAGCAGAGAGGCAGGACCAAAAUUGAGGCGAAUCCAGGAACCUGCCAAUGGGUCUCCGGCUCUCCGAUGCGGAGAUAAUGGGGAAGCUCUUGGCAUGGUUGGCUGUAGGUAUGUGAUACCGGAGGAGCAGGAGUCAAAUAGGAUACGCCGACUUUUAAUUCAAGGAACCCUUUUCUGAAACACUUUGCCACAAUGAAGGAAAUAAGAUUACAGCCGAAGAUACAUAUUAAGGAAUUGUACUCUCAGAGAUGUUGAGAAAAGAUACAUGGGUCUUGGAAGAUAAUUACUCAAAAUAUGCAGGGAAGGUAGUAUAUCUUUCUAUUUUAAAUGUAUUAAGUAUUCCUGGAACUAUAGCAGUGAGUUGGAAAUGGAGGAUUGUCCAAGUAAAAAACAUUUAUUAAGGCUUUAAUGAAAUCUACCUAUUUUAUGGUAUAUAAUCUCAUUAAUUGUCCACUUGGAAAGAAUAAUAACAGAUAUUUAUUUAUUGGCCAGUUACUAUGG
ensembl:lncRNA THAP9-AS1 THAP9 antisense RNA 1